CCUACGGGUGGCAGCAGUGAGGAAUAUUGGUCAAUGGGCGGAAGCCUGAACCAGCCAAGUCGCGUGAGGGAUUAAGGCCCUGCGGGUCGUAAACCUCUUUUGCCGGGGAGCAGUGGUCCGGACGCGUCCGGACCGGGAGAGUACCCGGAGAAACAGCAUCGGCUAACUCCGUGCCAGCAGCCGCGGUAAUACGGAGGAUGCGAGCGUUAUCCGGAUGUAUUGGGUUUAAAGGGUGCGCAGGCGGAGGAACAAGUCAGCGGUAAAAUCGCGGGGCUCAACCCCCCUCCGCCGUUGAAACUGGGUGCCUUGAGUGCGCGAAGGGUAGGCGGAAUGCGUGGUGUAGCGGUGAAAUGCAUAGAUAUCACGCAGAACUCCGAUCGCGAAGGCAGCCUACCGGCGCGCAACUGACGCUCAUGCACGAAAGCGUGGGUAUCGAACAGGAUUAGAUACCCGAGUAGUC
rnacentral:rRNA from 1 species